AACCUGAAGCACUAUUUCUGAGUUAGCGGAGUAUGUAACCUGAAGCGCAUGUAACCUGAAGCAUAUGUAACCUGAGGUACCACUGUAUUUCCAUCAGAAAAAUGUUGGAGGGUAUGCUAUCCCAGAAGCUGGACAGGAGUAGGAGCAUCCCUAUUGGUUCUGCUGACUCUCUUACCAGCUUUCAAUACCAUUGGCCACUGCAUGCUAUGUGCCAGCAGAGAUAGGAAUUGAAGGCAUUGUUUUAUAGUGGUUCUAAUCCACCUUGGAGAGUAGGUUUCAGGUGGUGAUAACGGCUUACUGUUUGACACCAUGGCCUUUGGCUUAGUGAGUUCCACAGAGUUUCAUCUUGUCCCUCAUCUUGUUUAACAUCUUCAUGAAACCAUUGGGAUGGUGUCAUUGGAAGGGAAAGCCCUGCCAGCCUUCUCAUGUCUUCAGGAGCUCUAGUCCUUUCCUGAGACAACUUCCUGCUUCAGAAGCUGGUGAAGCUAAAGAGGGUAUACUGUAUACAUAUUUCUAAUAAGUGAAUGAAAAAUUAAUGUACCAGCCAUCCCAGUGAAAUCCCAGCAAGAACCAUGAUACUAGUAUACGGUAAGUGAUUUAAGGAACUGGGACACAGAAUCUUUCAGAGCCAUUUUGUAUGUACUACAGUGGUUUGGUUGGAGGUUGUUAUUUGGAGUUCUCAAAACAGCAAUGUCAUAUUAGAUUUAUUUAUGCCGGAACAGAAUCCCCAAGUUGCUUUUGAAACAUAAAGUGUGUGGCAGAAAGUACAGGGAGGGGUCUUGGAGUGAGUUAUUAAAAAAUAAAUAGCAGUACAGUGGUACCUCAAGGUCCCCUAGAUUUAGAGGCCUGAGUUGUCCUGCCCUCACAUGAAGUUUUGUGUUUGCAAUUUUGGGAGAGGGGAGACUGCCUGCUGGGGAGCGGGAGGGCUGGCGAGGCCCCCUAGAUUUAGAGGCCCUAGGCUUCAGCCUGCUUAGCCUAUACAUAAAUCCGGCACUGCCUAGCCUCAUGGGAUGCCACAAAAGUGUUGGGCAGCAGCCAUUUUUUGUCCGCAACAAACAGAAAAACCAUUGUGAUCUUGCAACGCACUAAAGCAAUGGGUACCUUGUUAGACAUUUCUCCCUGAGCACCUGGCCCUAGUUUUAUUUGAUUCACUGCAUGGGGCUCUUGAACGUUCAGGUGAACCCAAGGAGGAAUUUGUUCAUAUUAAUUCCGACAAGGGAGUUCUGAAAACAAAACUGUAUCUUGAAUCUAUGUGCUGGUCCCGGGGGUAAGGUACCUUGGGUGUAGCAGAGUCCACACGAAGAGGGGCAAGGUCCGAGGCAGAGAGCCGGGCGGGGAACAGGAAUGCUGGAACAGGAGGCUGUGCAGGGAACAGGAACACCGGAUGGUCGGGAACAGGAGGCCGAGCAGGGAACAGGAGUACCGGAUAGUCAGGAACAGGAAGCCGAGCAGGGAUCAGGAACACAGGAAGGUCCGAAGCCAACAACGACGUUGCUCCCGCAACCUGGGGCCGGGCUGACUGGGCUUUUAUCCUCUUCUAAGGCCAGGGCGGUCCCGGUCCCCAGGAGCCCCGCCUCCUCUGGCCUUAAGGCGAGCACUCCUCCUGGGGGCAACCAGUUCCCUUCGCCUCUCUGCCCUAAGCCUCUGCAGAUCAGGAGAGGCCGAAGGGUUACUGGGCCCUGGAGGAGGCUCACCUGUGGCCACUGAGUCAUCAAGCCCCUCUGGGGCCCGAAGGGCUUCACCUGGGGCCAGCUCCUGAUGCACUGCCACAGGUGCAGGCUCUUCAGCAUCAAGGCCUUGCCCCAGUUCAGCCGGCCCUGGAGGCGGGGACUCCUGUGCAGGCCGGGAUUCCUCUGUUUCAUCCUCCGAAUCGGAAUCCCAGGCCAUCACACCAUCCCCCUCCCAGGCCCCCUCAACCGAGGGUCCGGACCCGGCUUGCCGGGAUACGUCGCAUGGAACUCUCGGAGGCAGGCAGGUGCAUGGACAUUGGCCGCUGGUUCCCAGGAACGGUCCUCCGGUCCGUACCCCUUCCAGUCAAUGAGAUACUGCAGCUUUCCCUGCGGUAUCGGGAGUCCAGGAUGCGUUCCACCUCGUACUCAGGCUCUCCCCGAACCAACACUGGCUGCGGUCGGGGACGGUUCUGGUGGAACUCGUCGGGUGGGGCCACCGGACUCAAAAGGGACCUGUGGAAGACCGGGUGAACCUUCAGGGUUGCGGGUAACCGGAGACGGAAUGCCACAGGAGAGAUUUGGUCUACGAUAGGGAACGGGCCGGUGAAGCGGGCGUCCAACUUCCGCGAAGGUCGAGAGGGGUGGAGGUGGCGAGUGGAGAGCCAAACCAGGUCACCGACGCGAGUUCCGGCCCCACCUGGCGGUGGCGGUCGGCCUGGGCUUUGUACGCUUCCUUGGCCUGGUGCAGUUGCUCCACCAAAAGCUGUUGCUGGGACUGGAGCUCUUGAAGCCACUCCGUCACCGCCGGGACCGCGGAUGCCGGCAGCACCUCUGGAAACAGCCGUGGAUGAUAACCAUAACUGGCCUGGAACGGGGUCUGCUGGGUGGACGCAUUCACCGCGUUGUUAUAGGCGAACUCCGCCAAUGCCAGGUGGUCGACCCAGUCAUCCUGCUGGUAGCUGCAGUAACACCGGAGGUACUGCUCCAGCACCGCGUUCGCCCGGUCCGUCUGGCCAUCGGUCUGUGGGUGGUAGGCUGACGAGAGGCAGACCUCUGUCCCGAGGGUCUGGUGUAAUGCUCGCCAGAACCGGGAUGUGAACUGAACGCCCCGGUCGGACACCACGCGCUCAGGUAGUCCAUGCAGGCGGAAGACAUGCUGAAGGUACAGCUGAGCAGUUUCCUUGGCUGUGGGUACAGAUGGACAGGGAGCGCAGUGCACCAUCUUGGUGAAAUGGUCGGAGAAAACCAGAAGGCAGGUACAGCCACGAGACGAGGGUAAGUCCACUACAAAGUCCAACGAAACUGUGUGCCAAGGGCGCGGUGGAACUGGCAAUGGCUGAAGUAGGCCGGGGGUCGCCCGGUAGGCCCCUUGGCGCGUCGGCAGACAUCACAACCAGCAACGUAGCGAGCCACGUCAGCCUUCAGGCGGGGCCACCAAAACUCACGACUGACCAGAUGGGUGGUCCGAUACCGUCCAAAGUGCCCCGCUGCCGGGGCAUCAUGGGCCAUCCGGAGAACCUCCAGCCGCAGUGGCCCUGGCGGGAUGUACAGACGACCGUGGUGCAGCAGGAGGCCCUGAUGCAGGACCAGCCCCGGAUACUGUGGGCUGGACCCUUCAGCCAGCUCCCGGAGUCGUUCCUGGGCCCAAGCGUCGACCCGCUGCUGUUCCCGCACCCGAACCUGCAGUGGCUGCGCCUCCUGGGUGGCCAGGAAUGCGGCCGGAGGUAGGAUCGUGGCGGGUUCUGCUUGCUGUACCGUGUCUGCGUUGUCUUCAGGUUUCCGGGACAGGGCAUCCGCCUUCAGAUUCUGAGAGCUAGGGAUGUAGCGGAUCCGAAACUGGAACCGGGAAAAGAACAACGCCCACCGGAUCUGUCUUUGGUUCAGCUUGCGGGUGGUCUGGAGGUACUUCCAGGUUCCGGUGGUCGGUUCUUACCUCCACCGGAUGUCGUGCCCCUCAAGAUGGUGGCGCCAGACCUCAAAGGCUACCUUGAUGGCCAGUAGUUCCCGCUCCCACACAGUAUAGUUACGCUCCGCUGGUAGGAGCUGGCGGGAAUAGAAGGCACAGGGUAAGAGUGGCGCUUCGGGCCCAAUCUGUUGAGACAAGACGGCACCGAGAGCCGUACUGGAGGCGUCGGUCUCCACCACAAAGGGUCGAGAGGGGUCAGGAUGUUGUAAGAUUGGUGCCCUCUGGAAACAGGCCUUCAACCCCUGAAACGCCUCCUCUGCCUCCUUGUCCCAGGAAAACGGCGUCUUUGGGCGCAGUAGCCGGGUCAACGGGGUGGUGCGAUGAGCAUAAUCAGCGAUGAAGGUCCGGUAGUAAUUGGCGAACCCCAGGAAACGUUGUAGGUCCUUGCGGUUCCGGGGUGCCGCCCAUUCUUGAACCGCUGUCACCUUCCCCGGGUCCAUUUGCACCCCAUCCGGAGAGAGCCGGUGACCAAGGAAGUCCACAGUCCGCUGAUGGAACUCGCACUUGCUGAGCUUUGCGUACAAACGGUGCUCACGCAAGCGCUGCAGCACGGUCCGGACAUGUCCCUCAUGGCGAGCCGGGUCACGGGAGUAAAUCAGUAUGUCAUCCAAAUACACCACCACGUACUUGUCUAACAAGUCCUGAAACACGUGGUUGAUGUAGCGUUGGAACACAGCAGGCGCGUUGCACAACCCGAAAGGCAUAACCAAAUAUUCGAACUGCCCGUACCGGGUCCCAAACGCUGUCUUCCACUCAUCCCCGGCUCGGAUCCGAAUCAAGUUGUAGGCCCCCCGGAGGUCCAGCUUGGUGAACACCUGUGCCCCUUGCACCCGCUCCAGCAGCUCCGAGAUAAGGGGCAAGGGGUAUCGGUCUGGGACGGUAAUUUUGUUCAAGGCUCGGUAAUCAUGGCAAGGGCGGAGUUCCCCACAUUUCUUCUUAACGAAAAGCACUGGUGCCGCGGUAGGCGAGGUGGACGGCCUAAUGAACCCACGCUCCAGGUUCUUGCGCAAGAAGUCCUGCAAAGCCUCGCGCUCUGGCUCUGUUAGAGAAUAUAAGCGACUCACUGGUAGAGGCGCUCCGGGUUGGAGGUCUAUGCCGCAGUCAAAAGGCCGAUGCGGCGGCAGCUGGUCUGCCCCCCGUUCCUCGAACACGUCCUGGUAGUCCUGAUACACGGCUGGGAGCGUGGGUGCUGCCUCCUCUGAGGGCGCGGCCGCCAGCGUCCCGGAUUGAGCAUGGGAACAUGGGUCUGGGAAGUGCACGGUCCGUUUGACCCAGUGAAUCUGAACGUUGUGGGCUUCCAGCCAGUCCAUCCCGAGCACCAGGGGGAAGCGGGGCAUAGAGGCAAUGUCCAAAGUUCGCAACUCCCGGUGCUGCUGGAAACACAGGACCAGGGGCUGGGUCUCCUGAGUAACGGCACCUGAACACAGAAGUCGUCCGUCAAUCGCUUCCACCUGGACCGGUACUGGAUUGUUCCUAAGUGGCACCUGAUGAUGGGCGGCAAAAGCAGCGUCCAUAUAAGAGCGGGUUGCCCCUGAAUCCACCAAAGCAUGGGUGGGGAUCCAGGGCCCACCUGGAGGGUAUAAACGUACCGGAACCAUAAGAUGUUGCGAGUCCAUUGAUGCAGGCCCAUUCUGCGCGGUUUGGGACCCCCGGCAGCUAGGGCCAUCAGCUACUGGGGUUGGCGGCUUCCUGCGGCUGGCGUUUCUCAGGGCAAGACCAAGCGAAGUGUCCACUUCCGCCACAGUAAAGACAGAGAUUUCCCUCCCGACGCCGCGCCUUCUCUGCGGGGAAAGCCGCGGCCGCACAGCCCCGACCUGCAUCGGCUCCUCCGUGACCUCCGCUGUGACCAUGGGGCUGCCGGAAAAGCUGGUGCCGUGAACUGGAAGUGUCGGCGACCCCGGGCCUGACGACGAUCCUCCAACCGGUCGUCUAUUUGUAGACUCCGUUGAAUGAGAGUGUCUAGCGUGGUGGGGCGUUCCAUUGUGGCCAACUGGUCCAGUACCUCGUCCGAAAGCCCUUCGAGAUACUGGUCCCGCAGUGCCGAAUCAUUCCAGGUCAAGUCCUGUGCCAACAGCCGAAACUCCGUGGUAUAUGCGGCCACCGUGGACUUGCCCUGUUUCAAACGCCGAAUCGCCCGGUUGGCUUGACUCCCUUUCUGGGGGUUGCCGAACGCGGCCUCCAAACGAUUGCAAAACCCCGUAUAGUCUGCCAGCAAGGGGGAGUCUUGCCUGAGUAGCGGCAACGCCCACUUGGCCGCCUGGUCCUUUAACAAACUAAUCAAAAAGUGCACCUUGGUGCGGUCGUCAGGAAAGUUCCGGGCUCGCCCCUGAAUAUACAGCUUGGCCUGGGCCAGGAACAUGGGAAAGCUGGCCGGGGCUCCAUCAAAUUUCUCAGGCAAAGCCACUGGGUACUUGCCAGGAGCCGGGCGUCGGCCCCAGGAGCCGGUAGGGCUUCCAAGCGUUGUUGAAGUGCCACAACCGCGUCACUGAGCUGCUGCACGGUGUGAGUCAAGGCCUGGUUCUUCUGGGCCAAAGCCACCAGUGCAGCCGCCUGGUCAGCCAUGGCCUCUGGCUCUUCCCGAACGCACCCCUACGAAGGGGGAGUGCGGGUUUGGCGGGAGCAAACUGUGCUGGUCCCGGGGUAAGGUACCUUGGGUGUAGCAGAGUCCACACGAAGAGGGGCAAGGUCCGAGGCAGAGAGCCGGGCGGGGAACAGGAAUGCUGGAACAGGAGGCUGUGCAGGGAACAGGAACACCGGAUGGUCGGGAACAGGAGGCCGAGCAGGGAACAGGAGUACCGGAUAGUCAGGAACAGGAAGCCGAGCAGGGAUCAGGAACACAGGAAGGUCCGAAGCCAACAACGACGUUGCUCCCGCAACCUGGGGCCGGGCUGACUGGGCUUUUAUCCUCUUCUAAGGCCAGGGGCGGUCCCGGUCCCCAGGAGCCCCGCCUCCUCUGGCCUUAAGGCGAGCACUCCUCCUGGGGGCAACCAGUUCCCUUCGCCUCUCUGCCCUAAGCCUCUGCAGAUCAGGAGAGGCCGAAGGGUUACUGGGCCCUGGAGGAGGCUCACCUGUGGCCACUGAGUCAUCAAGCCCCUCUGGGGCCCGAAGGGCUUCACCUGGGGCCAGCUCCUGAUGCACUGCCACAGGUGCAGGCUCUUCAGCAUCAAGGCCUUGCCCCAGUUCAGCCGGCCCUGGAGGCGGGGACUCCUGUGCGGGCCGGGAUUCCUCUGUUUCAUCCUCCGAAUCGGAAUCCCAGGCCAUCACAAUCUAUAUAUAUACUCCUGUUUUGCUGUUUACAGGCCAUUAAACUGCAAAGGGAACAAUGCCAGAGGCCUUGUUGCUUUAUGUAAUCCUGAUUAUAACAGAAUGGAAACCCGGUGUAAACAAACCUGAAAACCUAUAUAAUUUUUUUGUACAUUAAACCUCUGGAGGAUAUUCUGCUUAAUGUAAGAAGCUGCCUUAGACCAAGUCAGACCAGUGAUCUAGCCAGAUCAGUAUCUUCUUCACUGAUUGGCAGUGGCCCUCCAGAGUUUCAGAAACGGGACAGUCCUAUCCCUACAUGGAGAAGCUGGAGAUUGAACCCAGGACAUUUUUCAUGCAAUGCAGCGGCUCUAACACUGAGCCACAACCCCUCCUUUCGUGACUAGUUUGCGCAAAUUGUGGAACUUGAGUUAAAAUGCUUUUUAAGCCCAGAACUGAAAGAGUACCUUUAAACUAACCUACAGUAUACAUAGUCAUAUUAAUGGUGAGUGAGUGUGGUAGAGCCCUAAUGUGUAAUUUUGUCACUGACCAGAAGGAGAAAAAGUGGCAUAUUCUGCUUUGACACUGUGAGAUAUCACACUGCUCAGAGCCAGCUGGCAUCUCUGCAGCAUGAUCAGCCACAAGAAAGGCUGGAAAUGAUGUGUAGGUGUCUACAUGGUGGGGCUGGGCAGAGAAAUCCUAAGAACAACUUCUAAUCUAGGGUUAAAGUCAGAGAGGCAGUGGAAAGGACGGUGGAUCCUGUGACCCUAGAUCAGGAUAGGAAUUCAGAGAGGGUCUUCAUACCUGACCUGCCAGCAGGUAUAUGGAAGUUCCAUGUCCUACUGUCUUCCAGACCUGCCUUACCUGCUGGCCUGCAGCCAAGGUUGGUGGGCUGAUGUUAAUUCCAUCCUCACAAACCAUCUCUAACCGUUACUUGCCUAUGGAGACAUGUUGCCUGCCAGAAUCUGAUAGCAUGGGGUGCUGAGGGACCUGAGCAUUAGAGCCAUGCUGUGCUGCCAGUGUCGCACGGAGUUUGGUACUCCUUGUUAGUCCUGACAGCCUCAUGAAUGGAGAUAUGAUAGCACUCUUCAAAUACCUGAAGCGACGUUACAUGUUAGAGAACAAUGAGCUGCCCCAACGGGAAAAACUAGGGGCCCCUCCAGACUGGUGUUUUACUGUGGGUAGACUCUGCAACUUUCUCUUGACGCAACAGUGUGUUAGAAGUGGAUUUUUUGCUGUAUGACAGGUUCUGAAGGUGCAAAUAGUACUGGAAGUAGAAUCACCUUGAUAGCACAUAUAAGCGCAAAUCAUCAGGAAUGUGCAAUACAUUGGUUGUCUGGAGGGGUCCUAGGUCUAAUGGAUUUAAGUUAGGGGGGGUAGAUUUUGGUUGAGCAUUAAGGGAAACCUCAUAAUGCAAAGGGCAAUUUGACAAUGGACCCAAUUACCGAGAUAGGUGAUCGUGUGCUCUUCCUUGCAGGAGGCCUUUUGCAAAGGCAGGACUAUACUGUACUAUCUCGUGGGGCUGCCCCAGACCUGGGUUUCCAGCAGGGGGCUUGGAAUAGAUGACCUACAAGACCUCUUCCAACUCAAGGAGAAGAGAUUAAAAAUGAAAACAGCACUGUGCAAAACCAGUGUUGCUGAAAGGCUGUUUAACACAAAGCUUCAGGCAAACAAUGUACUCACACAAGUACUUGCAACCAGUGAUUCAUCAUUAUAUAAAGCACUUAGUCUGAAGACAGACAGAAGAUUUUAAGAGAGUGGUAUGAAAGAAGAAUUGCUUCCUAAGGAGUUUACAUAAAUAUUUCUUACACCUCUAGCUGCAAUUCCUCUUUCAUGACCCCUUCAACUCUCUGGCAAUACCCCCCCCAUAUCUGUCCAUCUUCUCCAGCCUGACUGCUGACCCUCUUAGUACAUUACAUCUAAUAAUAGCCUAGCCACCCAUUGCUCAUGUGCAUCUGAUGCUGGGGCAGGGUGCUAGGUCAGCACCUGACAAAGGAAUAAUGGUCAAAAGUCUGUCUCUGCAAGGAAUGUGGAAAAGUUGGCUUCUAAAGAUAACAGACAAAGGAUGCUUUGCUCAAAGAGUUCAGCCUGUCUUUUCCUUGCAGGCUUAAAUAACAUAAAUGAUAACGAUAACAGCAUUUUGCAUUUGUAUUGUGCUUUGGAGAG